GAUGAACGCUGGCGGCGUGCCUAAUACAUGCAAGUCGAGCGAACGGACGAGAAGCUUGCUUCUCUGAUGUUAGCGGCGGACGGGUGAGUAACACGUGGAUAACCUACCUAUAAGACUGGGAUAACUUCGGGAAACCGGAGCUAAUACCGGAUAAUAUUUUGAACCGCAGGGUUCAAAAGUGAAAGACGGUCGUGCGGUCACUUAUAGAUGGAUCCGCGCUGCAUUAGCUAGUUGGUAAGGUAACGGCUUACCAAGGCAACGAUGCAUAGCCGACCUGAGAGGGUGAUCGGCCACCCUGGAACUGAGACACGGUCCAGGCUCCUACGGGAGGCAGCAGUAGGGAAUCUUCCGCAAUGGGCGAAAGCCUGACGGAGCGACGCCGCGUGAGUGAUGACGGUCUUCGGAUCGUAAAACUCUGUUAUUAGGGAAGAACAUAUGUGUAAGUAACUGUGCACAUCUUGACGGUACCUAAUCAGAAAGCCACGGCUAACUACGUG
rnacentral:rRNA from 1 species